rnacentral:rRNA from 1 species
UACGAAGGGGGCUAGCGUUGCUCGGAAUCACUGGGCGUAAAGGGUGUGUAGGCGGUUGUUUAAGUUUGGUGUGAAAUCUCCCGGCUCAACUGGGAGGGUGCGCCGAAUACUGAAUGACUAGAGUGCGGGAGAGGAAAGUGGAAUUCCUGGUGUAGCGGUGAAAUGCGUAGAUAUCAGGAGGAACACCGGUGGUGUAGACGGCUUUCUGGACCGUAACUGACGCUGAGACACGAAAGCGUGGGUAGCAAACAGG